UUACUAUGCUGUAGAGGUAUAUUUUUCAUUAAUCUCAAAGGUGGAGGGUAAUGUCUUAAACAGUCAAUCUUUACCGAACACAUGUAAAUUCAAAGUGACUUACAGCUAGUAUUUAAGUUUUAAGUUUCCCGAGCCUGUUUGGGGGAAGUGAUUUGUCCCAAAUGAAGUAAAGGUGCAUUCAAGAACACAUUAAAAGAGGAAUGGCCUUUCACGUCAUUAAUCCUGCUUCUUUCCCAGAGCCUUGGUGCUAUCAUGGACUUUACCCGACAUACUUAAUCUCCUGAGGGAAAGAUGUGUGAAAUUUCUCCCUGACCCCCCCCAAGGUAAUUGACUGCAACUCCAGAAUAUCAAUCUAUCUUAACAAGAUCUAUUAUUCAAUCCCCACCAGCUGCCUUCUACCAAAGACGUUUCCAUGGCGCCAGAGUCACAGGAACCAUUGUGUUUCCGAAAGUCGUUGAUCAUCCCUGUCGAGAUGCUGCCUGUCCCACUGAGUUACUCCCCAACAUCGAUCUUCAGAUAUUUUCCUCUAUUUCCUGAACCUGGACAGAACCCAUAGAAAACAAUGGGAAGACAUGGCUGCCAGAAAGAAUGGUACAGGUACAAUGGGUGAACAUUUACGGGCCUGUCCCACUUGGCGAUUUUUUCGGGGACAACCAACGUCACCUGGUGACAACCUGCGCCAUCCUGGCGACAACCUACAACAGCACCUACAUCAGGAGAAGACAAGCUACGUCAAGCCCAGAAAGGUUUUGAACAUUUCAAAAUCCAGCGGGGACCAGAAAGACGCUACAACUCUUUAGGCGACUUGAGGAGACUACUCACGACUAUACGGGCAUCACCCCGCGACUAUGCGUUGACAGCCUAGUCACCUGUAGUCGCUGAAAAAAACCGCCAAAGUGGAACAGACCCUAUAUAAAUUUCCAAAACUCAUAUGUCCAUAUUGAAUCGUCCUGUGAAUUUCAUUGUGUUUUUUCCCCCAAAGUGUCCUGUGAUCAUUUUCCUAAUAAAUAAUUCCUAA